GCUCCGCCCGCUCCGCGCUCGGCUCACGGCACCGAGCGCCGCCCCACCACGAGCAGUUGAGGCAGAGAUUGAUCCGGGCCGUGCUCGGCGCGAGGGGCGCAGGAACCGCCGUGUGAGGCGGCGGCGGCGGCGGCUCGUGCGCGGACACAGCGGGGUCGGUGGGAGCAGCAGUUUUGUAGGGAGUGGCCGUGGGAGCUGCGGCCCCGCCAUCUGCCCGGCGAACGGGCAGGGCACAGCCUGCGAUAUCCGUGUGCGGUCCUUUCCACGUGUGUUGAUCGGCUGGGCCGGGAAGUGUCCCGGCUGAGGAUUGAUGGUCUCUGUCAAAACGCGUAGUGGUUGCUGAGGCGUUGAUGAACCCACCGCGGGGUCUGUGAGUCACUGCAGAAAAGGCAGGAACGCGCUGUUGCCAAAUAGGUUGUUGCACCCGGUGAACAGGAGGCCAAUCCACACCCAGAGUCGAGGUAUCCUGUCCUGUUCUUGUCAGCUCCUCCCUAAGAGGUGGAGUUUCUCGGGAGACUUCCAUAAAGUGGGAGAGAGAAAGAGGAUGCCCUCUCUAUGAGGAUUUCCUAAGGGAAAUAUGCUCUAUGCAGAGAGGAUACAACAGAAGACAAUCCAUACCACAGUUGCUAUUCACAGUCUUUUUGGAAAAUAAGUAUCAGGAGCCUUGGAGCAUCAAGAAUCCUGAAGAGGCAUUACCUUGACACCUGAUGUGUCUAUUUUGUGAUGUGCAGAGCUCUGAGGAGAGAGGCCUUUUUCCACUAAAAAAAAGGAACCUGUUGUGGUUUUUUACCUCUUGGUGUUCCUGGGUGAAGUAUUAAAACUGUGCAGUUUUACAGCUGGAGAAAGAAGCUGACUGUGCUAAUAGCAGCUUUUCCAACAUUAUCCUGAGCUUUUGCUACCAGAAGUCUCAUGAAUAGACUCCUAAAAGAUGUAAUCAAAUUACUUGACAGACUCCUGUAAUUCUGUGCAAUCAUUCCUAAGCAGUUUGUUGGGUUUUUUUUCUUCACAUUUUCAUUCCUUAAUCUUAGUGAACACUCUACCUGUCUGGAGUCCACCUGAAAUCCACGUUACCAACCCAUGAGGAAAAAUGUGCAUGAUCAGGGUAAUCAAAGAGCCAAACCUCACACAUCUAAAGGCUCUUCAGGUGCCCAGGUCAGGGGUCUCUGUAUGGUGUUGGGGGUGUCCUGUACUCCUUGGGAUCCCUCAGUGACUGUGAGGUGUGGAUGUUUCUGGGUGCCACUGUUUCAAAAAGUGACAGAAGGAACAAACCACAUAAAUGGAAGUUAACUGUAGCUGUUUGUAGCAGUUUGGAUCCUGGAGUGGCUUUUGAGUAGCUUAACCAUUGAUAAAGGACGUUUCCUGUGGAGGCUCCAUGUGUUGGAUGGGCAGAUUCAGACAACAUUCCACUCUCAGCACUCCGUAACUUGGAGCCAGAGGAAGGCAUCACAACAGCAAUUUGCCAAACAGUGUGAGUAGAAUAGAAAAACCAACCAAGUCCCAGUGGAAUGCGCACAGGUGGGGAGCACAGCUGCUGUGAGCAGGUGGUUGUGCAGCAGCAGCCUGGCUCCUCUGCCAUGUUCCUCCGGUGUCCUUCCAUGCUCACGAAUCAUGGCUAAAGCUGCCGUUCCCGGGAUCAGCCCGGGUUUGCAAGCGGACAGACGGGAGCGGGCCUGAGGGAGCCCCGAGGGGCGCGGGGAGUGAGCGCAGAAGGGGCAUAGCCGCCGCGCUG